rnacentral:miRNA from 1 species
GUAAGUGGUUUUUGUAGAUCAA